rnacentral:rRNA from 1 species
GACGAACGCUGGCGGCGUGCCUAACACAUGCAAGUCGAGCGGGAACCUGAGGAGGGGUAACCCUCUUCAGGGGAGAGCGGCGAACGGGUGAGUAUCACGUGGGCAACCUGCCCCGGACACCGGGAUAACCCAGGGAAACCUGAGCUAAUACCGGAUACUCCGGCGCGAUCGCAUGGUCGCGCCGGGAAAGCCUCGACGGUCCGGGAUGGGCCCGCGGCCUAUCAGCUUGUUGGUGGGGUAACGGCCCACCAAGGCGACGACGGGUAGCUGGUCUGAGAGGACGGCCAGCCACACUGGGACUGAGACACGGCCCAGACUCCUACGGGAGGCAGCAGGUGGGGGAUAUUGCGCUAAUGCGCGAAAGCGUGACGCAGCGACGCCGCGUGGGGAUGAAGGCCCUCGGGUCCGUAAACCCCUUUCGCCGAGGGACGGAAGGGAAACUGACGGUACCUGGAGAAGAAGUCCCGGCUAACUACGUGCCAGCAGCCGCCGCAA